GACGAACGCUGGCGGCGCGCCUAACACAUGCAAGUCGAACGAGCGAGAGAGAGCUUGCUUUCUCGAGCGAGUGGCGAACGGGUGAGUAACGCGUGAGGAACCUGCCUCAAAGAGGGGGACAACAGUUGGAAACGACUGCUAAUACCGCAUAAGCCCACAGCUCCGCAUGGAGCAGAGGGAAAAGGAGCAAUCCGCUUUGAGAUGGCCUCGCGUCCGAUUAGCUAGUUGGUGAGGUAACGGCCCACCAAGGCGACGAUCGGUAGCCGGACUGAGAGGUUGAACGGCCACAUUGGGACUGAGACACGGCCCAGACUCCUACGGGAGGCAGCAGUGGGGAAUAUUGCACAAUGGGGGAAACCCUGAUGCAGCGACGCCGCGUGGAGGAAGAAGGUCUUCGGAUUGUAAACUCCUGUUGUUGGGGAAGAUAAUGACGGUACCCAACAAGGAAGUGACGGCUAACUACGUGCCAGCAGCCGCGGUAAAACGUAGGUCACAAGCGUUGUCCGGAAUUACUGGGUGUAAAGGGAGCGCAGGCGGGAAGACAAGUUGGAAGUGAAAUCUAUGGGCUCAACCCAUAAACUGCUUUCAAAACUGUUUUUCUUGAGUAGUGCAGAGGUAGGCGGAAUUCCCGGUGUAGCGGUGGAAUGCGUAGAUAUCGGGAGGAACACCAGUGGCGAAGGCGGCCUACUGGGCACCAACUGACGCUGAGGCUCGAAAGUGUGGGUAGCAAACAGGAUUAGAUACCCUGGUAGUCCACACCGUAAACGAUGAUUACUAGGUGUUGGAGGAUUGACCCCUUCAGUGCCGCAGUUAACACAAUAAGUAAUCCACCUGGGGAGUACGACCGCAAGGUUGAAACUCAAAGGAAUUGACGGGGGCCCGCACAAGCAGUGGAGUAUGUGGUUUAAUUCGACGCAACGCGAAGAACCUUACCAAGUCUUGACAUCCUGCGACGUGCAUAGAAAUAUGUAUUUCCUUCGGGACGCAGAGACAGGUGGUGCAUGGUUGUCGUCAGCUCGUGUCGUGA
rnacentral:rRNA from 1 species